rnacentral:rRNA from 1 species
UAACACAUGCAAGUCGUACGAGAAGGUUCUUUCGGGAACUGGAGAGUGGCGCACGGGUGAGUAACGCGUGGGGACCUACCUUUUAGUGGGGGAUAACGGUUGGAAACGACCGCUAAUACCGCAUACGCCCUUUUGGGGAAAGAUUUAUCGCUAAAAGAUGGACCCGCGUUGGAUUAGAUAGUUGGUGAGGUAACGGCUCACCAAGUCUUCGAUCCAUAGCUGGUUUGAGAGGAUGAUCAGCCACACUGGGACUGAGACACGGCCCAGACUCCUACGGGAGGCAGCAGUGGGGAAUAUUGGACAAUGGGCGGAAGCCUGAUCCAGCCAUGCCGCGUGAGUGAAGAAGGCCUUCGGGUUGUAAAGCUCUUUCAGAUGCGAAGAUGAUGACGGUAGCAUCAGAAGAAGCCCCGGCUAAUUUCGUGCCAGCAGCCGCGGUAAUAAGGGCGAAUUC